AUGAUUAGAGAGCUUUCGAUUAUCUCUUGGAAUGUAUGGGGGCUAGGCAAACAUAAAAAAUGCACUGAUGUGAAAUCGACUCUCUCUUCAGCCCCUUGCUCGGUUCUCUGUCUGCAAGAAUCUAAGCUCCAGGACAUUUCCCACUUCAAGGCUAUUUCCUUUCUCCCCACUAACCUUCGCAACCUACACCUCAUCCCCUCCACUGGCGCUUCAGGAGGGAUUGUCACCGCCUGGGAUGACAACAUUUUUGAAUGCUCCAAAGUUGUAAAAGGGGAUUACGCUCUAACGUGUUGGUUCGAGUCACGUGCGGACGACCUAGCUUUUGCUGUCACCAAUGUAUAUGGCCCUUGCGACUCUGCCUCUAAACCCGUCUUCUUGCAAUACUUGGUUGAUUUGAUGCCAGAUAUCUCCUGCCCUUGGGCAAUCAUCGGUGACUUCAACAUCACUCUUCGGCCUUCUGAUAAAUCUUCGACGCAUUUCAACAUGACCGAGGCGAAUCUCUUCUCCUCUGCCAUUAACACUCUCCACCUUCAAGACCUCCCUCUCCUCGAUAGACGCUUUACCUGGUCGAAUCAACAGCAAGUGCCAAUUUUGGUGCGAUUAGAUAGAGCUCUUGCCAACGUUGCGUGGGCUACAAAAUUCCCCGACACCUCGCUUUCGUCUGUCACUCGAACAACCUCCGACCACGUCCCCAUCCAUCUAGCCGCCGCUACCAGUAUCCCC
rnacentral:rRNA from 1 species